UGGGGAAUUUUGGACAAUGGGCGCAAGCCUGAUCCAGCCAUGCCGCGUGCGGGAAGAAGGCCUUCGGGUUGUAAACCGCUUCUGUCAGGGAAGAAAUCUUCUGAGUUAAUACCUCGGGAGGAUGACGGUACCUGAAGAAUAAGCACCGGCUAACUACGUGCCAGCAGCCGCGGUAAUACGUAGGGUGCAAGCGUUAAUCGGAAUUACUGGGCGUAAAGCGUGCGCAGGCGGUUUUGUAAGACAGAGGUGAAAUCCCCGGGCUCAACCUGGGAACUGCCUUUGUGACUGCAAGGCUUGAGUGCGGCAGAGGGGGGAUGGAAUUCCGCGUGUAGCAGUGAAAUGCGUAGAUAUGCGGAGGAACACCGAUGGCGAAGGCAAUCCCCUGGGCCUGCACUGACGCUCAUGCACGAAAGCGUGGGGAGCAAACAGGAUUAGAUAGCCCUGGUAGUCCACGCCCUAAACGAUGUCAACUGGUUGUUGGGAAGGUUCCUUCUCAGUAACGUAGCUAACGCGUGAAGUUGACCGCCUGGGGAGUACGGCCGCAAGGUUGAAACUCAAAUGAAUUGACGGGGGUCAUUAGCUG
rnacentral:rRNA from 1 species